CAAUGAAACAAGAUCAAACUAUUUUAGAGAUUCUAUCUCAUUCUUUUGUAAGUCAUAUGAGGGUUAGACCACAGUGUUUCCAAUCAGUGGCUCUAAGAUACACAUGAAUAUCACCUCUCCUAAUGAAGGGCUUCUAGAAUCCAUAGACUGCUGGCUUUUCAAGUUACCAGUCCCUUUAAGGUUGUACAGAGGUUCACUACCCUCUUCAUGUUAUGGACACACCUACAGAGCAGUCACAGCUUUGAUACCCUAAUGGGUAGGAUGAAGCAGGGUGACGUGAAGGACGUUUGGGACUGAAUGGUGUGCAUGCUUCCCCAUGUCAGUACAUAAAACAGGACUGCAGCAUUCGGCGCAGUUUGGUUUCAUCUCACUGCAGCAGGAAACAACCUCUGAGAGAAAGAUCUCCAUCACACUGCUGGCAACACAGUGACAGCACCGGGGCACUCAAAAAACUGCAUGGAAAUGUAACACUGAAGAAAAACAUUCAUCACAGCGUACGGAGUCCCCGUAUAGAAUAAUAGAAUCGUAAAACAAUUUAUGUUGGAAAACACCCUUCAGAUCAUCAAGUCCAGCCAUCAAUCUAUCACUACCAAGUCCACCACCUAACCAAGUCCCUAAUCAUCACACUCACAUACAUCUGAAACACCACCAGGGAUGGUGACUCCACCAUUGGGUUCAACAGCUUCAUGAAGAACAGCCUUCAACAUUCUCUGUGACGCCAGCCCAGGAUGCCUGGUUCAGAGGCUUCCCUUAGAGAGUGCCCCAGAGCAGAGCAUCUGUGCUAGCAUCAGGAGGUGGGUCCUGCACUCCCAGGGACCCCUCAGCAGCUCUGCAGUACUUUAGUCAGGAUGCCACUUUGGGCAGCAAUGGCCACAGUGGUGCAGCUGUAAACAGGACACAUUGCCAUGAAGAGUCUGGAAUUUUACCGAUCUUAAGAGCUUUCAUGUGGUCAAAAUUUACUGGUGCAACAGCAACAUCAAGAUUCAGCAAAGAAUUCAUCCCAGAUCACUUCAGCAACCAGAGCUGGUGCCUUCCCAGAAAAAUGACUGCAGUAUAUAUGGCUACCUAGGCCACGGUGAGCCACGGUGCAACUACAGAUAGAUACACAUACAUAUGUGUGUAUAUGUAUGUAUAUGGACACACAUAACAGCUUUCAUUUUUGAAGUUGCUGCUCUUAACUGAACCGCUUUGUAUCUUCUUAAGAAAACAGACGUGUGAGGUGAAACAAUUCUGUAUCUCCAGGAUACUUAGAAAACAUCUGAAAAAAUGCACUGUUAUCUGCUAAAUUAAGCUAGCUCUUUCAAGGAGAAAGUCAACUUUCAGUUACUGGAGAGAAAGAACAUGAAUUCCAGAAAAGAAUGGGGGAAAUGUUUAUUGUAUUGUCCAGGGACUUUUUCACUCACCUCCCCAUGUAUUUUUGUGAGAUCCAGUUAACUAUGAGGAACAAGGGCACAUGAGCCCACCCAGUCCAAACCAUUGUGUCUUAGAGAAAUUCAUGAAAGGGCAGACUGAGAUUCUCACUGGCCAAUAUUUCCUCCAGUGCCCUGGUAUCUAAUCAGGUUGUUUUUUCUGCCUUUCUUUUUAUUGUGUGCUAUGAAUACCAUCUGCAAAAGAAAUCACAGUGCCCGUCAUUAACUGAAGCCCUUGCUGUGGACUUGGGUGCUGCUCAAACACACUACCCUGCACGAUGCCUCCCUGAGCCAGCUCCCCUCCUCACUGCCCAGUUACAGCUCUCCAGCCAUUGCUUUCCACCUGUUCUGACUAUUUUGUUGUUGUGCAGCUUCUGGUAUAAAAGAAACAGCUAUUGCUGGAGAAGAGAGUAGGAAGGUCACAAACACUGUUAUGAAAUAGUAAUUCUGUUAAGAACAAUCUGAGCAUUCAACAUCACCUACCGCUGGCCCCAGUCAAACCUCUGUUAGAGUACAACUCUGCUUCUCAGCCAAGAAAACAUUUUUCAUCAGCUUAGUUAUUUCAAAAGAAACUUGAAUGCAAAUCUGACAUUAGGUGGGGAAGCAGAUGCAUUUGGUGAGAGUCUUACAGCUGUGAAAUGAGAGUGAUGCAAUGCUAUUUUUUCAAUUGUUUUUUUCUGAUUAUUGCUUCCAGAUAUUGAAAACUGCUGUUUUCCAAUGGGAAAAUAACCAAAGCUGGAAGACAUCACUGUUAUCAUGCCUAGAUGACAAAAUAAUGCUCCUUUCCUUCCUGUCCUUCCUUUCUUUCCUUGCUUCCUUCCUUUCCUUCUUUCUUUUCCAUUUUUAGAAUAGAUUUAAGGAUUUAUAUAACUCACACCAGAAAGCAAACCCUUGUGUAUCGCUCAAGAGCUAGACAUGUAGUAAGGGCACUAAAGGGUACACGUGCACCCUGAGUCAAUUAAUUGUUUUGCCCUGAUCUGUGAGCUCAUGCUAAAGAAGACUUCAAAAUCCUUGAGUUCUGCUCUGCUUAUAUUCCAGACAGAGGUACUAACUUUGGUCAUUUCUCAUGCAGUGAGUCACAACUCCAGUCAGCCCUUCUCUCCCUUUCUCUGUCACACAUGAAAAAUCCCUGAGGCCAUCUAUCCCUAAUCAGACUGAUUAUAAUUCAGUUCCAAUUCAGCAAAUAUAAAACAACAAAAGCACUGGAACAGGACAGAAAUCUGGCCCGAAGAGCUACAAAUCUAUGAAAAAUAACACUGUUCAACAGUUGUCCAGAUUUAAUUUUAGGAUAAACAUUAGAACACAUCACCUGGGAUUGAUUUAAUAUUUGUGGUACUAAUUUAGAUCAUUUAAUUUGCAGAAUUUUUGGUUCAUCAUCUGUUCCCACAGCUCAGUCAAUACUGUGGCUCAGCUCACAAAGGGAAUUGAUCUGAAGGCCAUUCUUUACAAGACAGAUUAAUUUUUGUUGAUUGAUUGAUUGGACUCUUUCCACUACGCAUACUAAUUCUGGACCAUUUAAAGCUUAUAAGGUUUUAUAUUGAGAUUCAUUGAUUUCACAGUUAUAAAAUGAUGAAUGGGUUUUCAGCCAAGGGAAGGCAAUUGAUGUAAGCUUGAGGAGAGAGACCAAGAUAAUCAGUAUAUAGUGGAAAGUGCAGAGCUGCAAUGUUCCCUCUGUUUCUGUCCAGAUUUUCCCCAGAUGGAAGGGGAUCAAAGCGAUAGUAGGGCCAUGUUGGGCACUUUUGCCAAGUCUGCACCGCAGGCUUUGCUGCUUCCCAGCUCUGAUGUCCAGGUAAAGAUCUCCUGAUUAAAACAGAACUGGAGGAGCCAGCCUAUCCCUGGCUUCAUCAUAGCCACCAACCAUACACUUCUUACAGCCUAUGGUUCUGCCUUUUCUUCUUCUUUUUCUCUUUCUUUUUCUCUUUCUCUUUUUUUUCUUCUUUUUCUUUUUCUUUUCCUUUUUCUUUUCUUUUUCCUUUUCUUCUCUUCUCUCUUACUGGGGCUUAUUGAGGGUUUUUAUCAUUCUUCUUCAAUGCUCUAAAAUCACAUAUCCUCCCUGGGAAAGAAUUUAAGUAUUCUGAUUGUUAGAAUGUGCUUUCAUGUAAAAGUGCAACAUACAUGGUGCAAUAUAUUCAUGUAUGUUGCCAAAGGUACCCAAACUAAUAUCAUUUUAAGAUAAAAUAUUGUGUCUUUAAAAGUGUUUUUGUAAUUAAUUUCCUUGUACUUCUAGAAGGACAAGACAAAGAAAUUAAGAUAAUUGCCCAUGUUUCAGAAGAUUUUGUAUCCACUAAGUUAUCUCCUAAAAUUUGCAGGAUAAAAUCGAUCUCAGCAUCCUAUUUUCUAUAGUCAGCCCCCACACAGCUGGGAAACGUAAGCCUUUUAUUCAGUGUUUUUUCCAGGCAGUGUUUAAAGUGUUACCAAAAAGUCUUGGACUUGUAGCACUGGCGGGGAUCUUGUCACUGAGGAAUACCAGCUGAGAGAGCACUUUGCCUUCUGUAUCAGCUGUUUGGUUUUCCAGUAUGGAUGGAGGACUGUUCUUCAGAGGCUGAGCCUCAUUUGCAUCUGGUUCCUCUCAUCAGACUGCUACAUUCAGUAACCUUCAGCUUACAAAGCAUUUCUCAAUAUUUUAGAUUAUAAAGUCUGGAUGGCUAGGAAAUAAGCACCACCACAAGUAAAUAAUAAAGACGUGAAUCUGGAAUAUGAUCCUGCACCGGACAUGUUAAGCAUCUUCUCCAGAGGAAAGCCAUCCAGCUUGGAAUCUGUAGAAUUCUUUUGGUUAAAAGAACUUGAUCUCAAGCCUCUUUCUUUCUCCAAGUCAUACUGUCAGGAUUUAGUUUCACAGACCAUUCACUACUUUGUACACUCCUCACAAAUAUCACCUUGGAAGGAGAUUUAUCUCUCUCUACAGAGAGAGAAACGCAAGCUGCUUCAAUUUUAUCUAGUUGUCAUACUGUGUGUAUUACGAACUACCACUUCAGUCCACUUCUUGUUCCAUCAAAUGGCUUCAAAGCAGGUGAUACAUAGAUGGUCAAGGAGGAAAGCACUUCAGGGCAAAGUGUGUUCUGAGCUACACUUGUAAAUGAGCAGUAACUUUUGAUUUCAUUGCAGUAACACUGGUUUCUACACCACUAUAUUUAUCUGUCACUUUAUUUUUCUCUUCCAUCAGAGAGAUUUGUAGACAUAUUGUAUUUAGAGACGUUGUCACGCUGAAAAAUAAAACUACUACCCAACAUUUUACUAGUUAGAAUUAAUUUGACAUGCAACUUAUCAUUUUGCAUAUCACUGGACUAUAGCCUUUUCAAUUACACCAUUUCUUUGCAACUCCAAUUAAACUGUUAAUUGAUGUCACUAUUGUCAAAUUGCAAGCAUUUUUUUACAUACAAAUAGCAAGGAAAAAAGAGAGAAGAUCCAGAAUUAAUAGAAAAUAGCAGCAGGUUUCCAGUCUCAGACUACUUUCUGUAUCUUUAUAAGACCACUAUACUAUGCUGGCUGAGAGUUGCAAGAAAAUAUGUACUUAUAUAUUUUGUUAAUGAUAGCAUCGUUCUUGUGUGCUCUGAAAUUAGGACACUUUCUCAAACAAAGGCUGUACAACCAAGUACUAACAGGACUCUUGGGUAUGCUUCAGAAGCUAGAGCUAGAAUUCUUCAAAGCCUGCCCAAAGAGAAUGUUUCUCAACCUCUUCCUAUAAAAAAAAAAUUCUGGAAAAAAAAUUUAUAAAAACAGCUGAACAACCAAUUCUAUUGCUUGCCCUCUGCAACAUCAGCAUCAUGGUGCUCAUAUCCAAAGAAGCCAAAAUAAAUUUUCUGUACCGGUUCAUGAUUAUUUUCACCCUUCUAGUUUAUUUGCUUUUUUGCACACAUGGAAAUGUAUGUAUGCAAUUGUAUUUGUACAUUUGCAGAUAUCUCACAGGCUGUUUUUCCAUAUUGCACACAAACACAACCACAGCCAAAAGGUUUUGAAGCCUGACUGCUGUUAUGCUGUGAGGCA
ensembl:lncRNA